CAGUAGUCACGUAGUUUGAUCAUGGCUCAGAACGAACGCUGGCGGCAGGCCUAAUACAUGCAAGUCGAACGCCCUAGUAAUAGGGAGUGGCAGACGGGUGAGUAACACGUGGGAACCUUCCCUAUAGUACGGAAUAGCCCAGGGAAACUUGGAGUAAUACCGUAUAAGCCCGAGAGGGGAAAGAUUUAUCGCUAUAGGAUGGGCCCGCGUAGGAUUAGCUAGUUGGUGAGGUAACGGCUCACCAAGGCAACGAUCCUUAGCUGGUUUGAGAGAAUGACCAGCCACACUGGGACUGAGACACGGCCCAGACUCCUACGGGAGGCAGCAGUGGGGAAUCUUGGACAAUGGGCGCAAGCCUGAUCCAGCCAUGCCGCGUGAGUGAUGAAGGCCUUAGGGUUGUAAAGCUCUUUGCCGGGGACGAUAAUGACGGUACCCGGAGAAUAAGUCCCGGCUAACUUCGUG
rnacentral:rRNA from 1 species